UCAAAACAGCGGCCUUCGGUCCUCGCUGCACCCUUGUCUUUUGCGCACCGUAUUGUUUCCUCGGCGGGCUUGCCUGCCGGUUGGACAUCAUAAACCUUUUGUAGUUGCAAUCAGCGUCAGAAAACAAUAAUUAUUA
rnacentral:misc_RNA from 1 species